AUACUUACCUGGCAGGGGAGAUACCAUGAUCACCAAGUUGGUUUUUCCAGAGUGAGGCUCAUCCAUUGCGCUGCGGGUGUGUUGACCUCUGUGAUUUCCCCAAAUGCGGGAAACUCAUCUGCAGAAUUUGUGGUAGUGGGGGACUGCGUUCGCGCUUUCCCCUG
rnacentral:snRNA from 1 species